CAGCAGGUUGCGUCAAAGUACCUAGGAAUUGCUGCAUUCUCGGAAAGCUUUGUCUCCAUAUUUCUACUGCUUUACAUCGGCCCCCUCUCCGACAGGUACGGUCGCAAGCCCUUCCUGUACCUGAGUCUGGUGAUGAAAACACUGAGCGUUGUUUUAUUUGUCUUCGCCUCAGCGUUCAUUUACUCUCCUACCGAGCUCACUGUGGUGGCGCCGUUCCUCUACUCCCUCGGCGGCGGGAUCGGCACUUGCCUCAUGCUCGUCUUCGCCUGCAUCUCUGACGUCACCACGGAGGCCAACCGCACCUACAGGCUGGG